rnacentral:lncRNA from 1 species
CAGCGUCCCCGUGCGGAGGCUGCGAGCCGGCCUGGGAAACCUUCCCUGUCCUCCCUCCCCAGACCCAGGAGGGCGUGCCUUGCUCUCCUUGAUCUCCCCCUGCAAGAGCCAGCAAGACUUUCCUCUGGGGUUCUGAGAGAACAGAGGCUGGUCCCAGGCCUGUCUGCUCCUGAGCCCCAGCCCAGCCCCUUGCGGGCUCUCAGCGGGACCAGUUCCCACGGUGGUUUCCUUAAUCUUUGUACUGCUGGCCAUAUUUGGGAUCUGCCUGGGCCAGUGUGGGCAUAUGGGCGGAACAUUCCCUAGCGUGAAUGUACUGGGACCCCAUCAUGUAGGGCCUUCCUGACACGAGUACAUGUUUGUCUGCCCAGCAUCCCUGGCUCCUGCUGGAGACACUGUCUUCACCGUUCUGCAGUAAUCCUCAUUGACCCCCCGAUGUCCUCACCCUGCUCGAGAAUGAGCAUCUGUCCAUGGACCUAUAUAAGGUGACAACUGCCUUUCUUGCCAUGUGAAGUGAACGCCUCGAGACCACAGGUAAUGUGGAGGAACACCAAGCCCAGGGAUGGAGAGGAGCUCGGACCACAUCUCUACAGCUGCUGGAUCCAGCCAUGCCUGAAGACUUAUCAGUCGUAUGAGAUAACACACUCCUUUUUUUAAAGUAAAUGAGUUCAGUUUCUGCAACUGGAAAAGGCUGAAUAUAGUGCUGCUUCGAAAGAUGUAUAUAAUACCCCUUCGCUGUUUAGAUAUUUAGGCUCCGUUUGAAAACUGAGAUAUACGCAGACGUGAAGAAAAUAUGAAAGAUGGCGUAAAUUUAGUGGAUAGAUACUUGAAACUAGUUAUUUUGGUCUGUUCUCCAGAUUAAAGUUUUCCAUUACUUAACUUUUUUAUCUCCUUAUUUCUCUUUAUUCACUUUUAAGGGAAUCGUUAUAUUUACCCUCAACAUCUCUAAGAAAAUACGGGUCAAAGACUAGUGAGGGCCACACCACGUUUCGUUUAAGAAAUCAUCUACUGGCAAAGAAUUUUUCUCCCCGUAAUACACUUGUUCGUCCCCUCCAUUCAUUCCUUCGCUGCGGGAAAUCAGGUAGAUCAUCACAGUCCUGCACAGGAUUUCUGUCUGUGCGGUAUUUUCCUAAAGAAACAUUCCUCGCUGAACUGGAAUAAAUAUACAAAACCCUGUGCCGGUCAUUCGUUUACAGGCUGACGAAUUUGCAAAGGUCGCAUCGCGCUCAGUAGAAGCUGCACCUGUCUGCCUCCCGUGAAAUGCAAGCCAGAGAGCUGGACGCAGGAUGGACAUCACGGAUGAGAGGGGUCUGGGCCCUGGGCCGGCUGCACGUGUGUGUCCCCUGACGCAGAGAAUACGUCACCCAGGAAUCGGGACGUCCUCCGACUCCCCCUAAAAACUGAGCAAGACGGCGUCACCAUGAUUGACCCCCCGGGAGCACGUGCGCAGCCGGCUCCCAACUUCCGAGUGCGUCCGGGUCACUGCGGCCACACCCCUGGUCACCCGCUAUGACGCCCGUUCUCUGGCCAGUCACGCUGAGCGAAUGGCCCGUCUUCCUGGUUGUGUGACUCUGUAGGUGUCUGUGUGACACCUGCCCUCGUUCUGGCUGCACAACACGUUUGCCUUCUUUAUUUUCCUCUGAGUUCUGGCACCUAAGGGGUGUCAGUCCUGUCGUCUGUGUGAUUUCAUUCACAAUUUCCUCCCUUACUCCCUCAAUUCCAUCCUAAGCUUUGCAUUAAAACAACCGGGGAAAUGCCGUUCUUCAUGUCGGGAAACGCAGGCCAGUCAAGCACAAGCAGAAGCCUCCUUCUCCCACCUGGAUUCCCCCACAUUUCUCAGCUGGAGAGCUGAACUCCUAACCCUUCCAAGGGUCCGGG